CUCUUAUUCAGAGUGGUGGAGAGUGAAGGCUCAGUGAAACCACGGCAACCCCUUGAAAAAGGAAGGUGCCAAUCUCAGCGAGAAAUCGAUCAAUAAGAU
rnacentral:ncRNA from 2 species